rnacentral:rRNA from 1 species
UGGGGAAUCUUCCGCAAUGGACGAAAGUCUGACGGAGCAACGCCGCGUGAGUGAUGACGGUCUUCGGAGUGUAAAGCUCUGUUAAUCGGGACGAAUGGUUUGUGUGCAAAUAGUGCAUAGACAUGACGGUACCGGAAUAGAAAGCCACGGCUAACUACGUGCCAGCAGCCGCGGUAAUACGUAGGUGGCAAGCGUUGACCGGAAUUAUUGGGCGUAAAGCGCGCGCAGGCGGACUAGCCAGUCAGUCUUAAAAGUUCGGGGCUUAACCCCGUGAUGGGUGUGAAACUACUAGUCUAGAGUAUAGGCGAGGAAGUAGGAAUUCCUAGUGUAGCGGUGAAAUGCGUAGAUAUUAGGAAGAACACCAGUGGCAAAGGCGACUUUCUGGACGAACACUGACGCUGAGGCGUGAAGGCCAGGGGAGCGAACGGG